rnacentral:rRNA from 1 species
AAAAAAAGUCCACAUCCUGGACAUGCCCGAUCUCAUCUGAUCUCGUAAGCUAAGCAGGGUCGGGCCUGAUUAGUACAUGGAUGGGAGACUACUGAGGCACAACAGGUGCUGUAGGUG